CUGAUACCUGAGCUCACCAACCAGCUAAACACUCCCUUUGUUUCCUUUUGGAGCCGCCUCACCAUUCCCUUUACUGGACAUCCCCAAAAGAUUGUUCAGUUCUUAAAUCCCUUGUGUGGUGGUAAGAGGUCUGGGAAGUUUCUGGAGGGAAGAAGUGGUUUCUGUGGGUGUGAUCUGGUGGACACCCAACUGGAAGCCUCUUUGGAAACCCCGGGAAACCCCCAUGGGCUCUUGCCAGGCCCUCUGCCCUCCUGUUCCCAGUCUACUGCUGACUCCACACUUAGCAACCACUCACUUCAACUCCCGAGAAGACUGGCCCUUCAGAAGAGACAGGAAAAUAUCUGUGAGGGGAAUCCCUCAACUCCAGAGCUACCAGGGGAUCUUCCUUCGCCCUUCACUGUGAGAACCUGCUGAGGUCCCUGAAAAUACAGUCCGUGAAAGUGCAGGGGCCACCUGAGACUGUGAUUCCCAGGAGUUUCUCAUUCAAGUCCAUACUCAGCCUCCAACAAAAUUUAUCAAAUUUACUGUGUAAAGGUUCUGUCUACUUUAUGGCUUGAGUACCUUCUGCUUCAGCUUACAGAAAUGAUGCCAUAGAAAAACAAGCACAUUCAAGAUAUGGGACAUGCUGUGUGUCUACCAUUCUAGACUUCUCCAAAUUGCAGUGCCAUAAAUGAGGAUGGGGAUAUUCUAAAUUUUGAAACAAGGACUAAAGAGACAUAACCAAAUGCAACGGGUAAACCUUGACUGGAUCUUGAAUUAAAAAGUCAUUUUAAAGACAACUGGUGAAAUUUUAAAUUUAAGUAUUAGCUGAUACUAUGGAAUUAUUGCUAAUGUACAUGUGGUUAUAUAGGAUAGUGUCCUUAUCCUUUGGAAACACAUAUUGAAAUAUUAGGGUUGAAAUAUUAAUACAUGAUGUCUGAAGCUUACUUUCAAAUGCUUUCAAUGAAAAUAUUUGGUCAAACACUAUUCUAGAUGUUUCUGUGAAAGUAGUUUUUGAUGAGAUUAACAUUUAAACCACUAUACGAAUGUUAAAUUUCUCUAUAUAUGUUUCCAUAGUUAUCUAUGUUUCUCUCUCUCUCCAUAGAUAUGAGAUAGAUAAAUAUAAGUUUUGUUUCUCUGGGGAACUCUAAUACAAUACCCUUCUUUCAACUUUUCAGUAUGUUUGAAAUUUUUUCUAAUGAAAAGUUAGGGAAAAAAUUUAAUUCAGAUAAUUUUUUAAAAACAUUCAGGAGUUUUUAAAAACAUUUUCCUGAUCUAGCCAAUGCUGACAUUCAGGAGUUAAGUGCGUUAUUUUGUAGCUCAUAGCUAUUCUUCUAGGAGAGAAAAUUAGUCUUAAUGGAGAAUAGUCUGAGGAGCCUAGCCAACUAAAAAUAAGCAUCACCUGUUAGUUUGCAAAUAUUUUUGAGAAUUUAUUGUCUUAGUGGCUAUGCUCAGUCCUGGGAAAAGAGUGGUAAGCCACCCAGAAGUAGUCCUUUCUAACUUCUUCCUGUGUCACUGUGUGUCCCAUACUUGGCAAGCCAAGUUCAUUUGGGUCAAAGUAGAACACAUCUAACUAGUUCUUGAUUUUAAGAGAAUCUACAGGUUUUCUGAUCAGGGAGCCUGUAUUGAUGAUAUAGCCACUUCGGUGAAAGCCAACAGUGACAGCUUCAUAUUUCAAAAGUCAGACAACUCCAGUGAACAUGAUAUAAACUCUUUUCUUCCUCUGUUUGUUCCUCUGUGUGGUGUUCCUCACACCAACACAGAACACAUUUAGAAAGCUUAUUUAAAAACAUGUCAAGUUCUCAGAGAGAGAAGAAGAAUGGUUACCAGAGGCUGGGAAGGGAAAUGGAGGUGGGGUGGGGGAGUGGGGAUGGGGAUGGUUAAUGAGUACAAAAAAACUAGUUGGAAAGAAUUAAUAAGAGUUACUAUUUGAUAGCACAACAGGGUGACUAUAGUCAAUAAUAAUUGUACAUUUUAAAUAACAAAAAGCACAUGAUUGGAUUGUUUGUAACACAAAGAAUAAAUGCUUGAGGGGAUGGGUACCCCAUUCUCCAUGAUGUGAUUAUUACACAUUGCAUACUUAUUUCAAAACAUCCCAUGUACGUGCACCCCAUAAAUAUAUAACCCUACUAUGUACCCACAAAAAUUAAAAAUAAAAAAAUUUAAAAAUAAGAAAAUAAGUUCUGCUUUGGCCAUAAUAAACAUUUAUCCUGAUGCCUUAAACACUAGACAACUCAGCAGAUUACAUGAAACUACUGUGCUCAAACACUGGACAGUAGGAAGCACAGUAUUUUUAUCUAUGAAAGAAGAGAAACGAACAAGGCAGAUCCUAUGAUAACCCAGAUUUCUGUGUGGGGCACUUUCUAGACCACCCAGCCAGGGAAAAAAAUCCCCAGCAAAACAUGAUAAACUUGCUGAAUUGAGGAGACAGACAUGGAAGGCCAUGGAGUCUGAAGAGGCCAGAGGUGUAAGGCAAAUGUUCAGACAGGAGCAAGCUAUGCGGAACAAAACUUCAGAAGUUUGUAUAGUAAUUUCCUUGAGUUUUUAGUGAACUCUAAGCUAUGAACAAAAGCUAUAGAGUGAGACUCUAUAAAGUCAAGCAAAGAGUGACUAGAAGCUGUGAAGUGAACAGUUCUCAGAGAGCCUGUAGUGCUGGGAAUUCAUUUGGGUUCCCUAAGCCAGCAUGGAGAGUGCUGUCCUGUUUGAUAACUCAGGGCAUCCAGUAGAGACCCCAUAAAUUACUCCAUACAAAUGGGGCUACACUCUUGGUAGAGUAAAAACUAGUCUAGAUAAACCCUAACAAAGCUUAACAAUAGCCUCAAAAAAAUCAACCUGAACCCCAAAUAACCUAACUGGCUACCUAAGAGAACACAGUUCAACAUUCUUCUCAAGGCAAAUACUACCCAAUGAUACCCAGAUAUUCAAUGACAGAAAAUUCAUAAAUUCAGUGUCCAAUAAAAAAUUACUAGACCAGGCCAGGCCUGGUGGCUCACACCUGUAAUCCCAGCACUUUGGGAGGCCAAGGCAGGAGGAUUGCUCGGUCCAAGAGUUCAAGACCAGUCUGGGCAAAAUAGUGAGAACUUGUCCCUAUUUAUUUUUUAAAAAUUACUAGACCAGCCAAAAGCAGGAAAAUGUGGCCCAUAACCAAAAGAAAAAUCACUUACUAGAAAGAGAUUUUAAAGAAAGACAACUUUAAAACAACUGUUGGGCCAGGCAGAGUGACUCACACCUGUAAUCCCAGCACUUUGGGAGGCAGAGGCAGGCAGAUCACUUUAGCUAGAAGUUUGAGGCCAGCCUGGGCAAUAUAAGGAGACCCCAUCUCUACAAAAUCUACAAUAAUUAGCUGGACAUGGUGGCAUGCACCUUAGUCCCAGCUACUUGGGAGGCUGAGGUCGGAGGAUCACUUGAGCCUGGGAAGCAGAGGUUGCAGUGAGCCAAGAUCACACCACUGCACUACAGCCUAGGCAACAGAAUGAAACCCUGUCUCAAAACAAACAAACAAACAAACAAAAAGCUGUUAUAACUAUGCCCAGCAAGUUAAAGGAAAACAUGAACAUAGAGAAGCUAUGAGAAAGAAUCAAAUGGAACAUGUAGACAUGAAAACUAACACAUCUGAAAUAAAGCUGACAUAAUUCCACUCCCACCUUUCACUAACACAACACACUCUUCCUCAAAAAUCCCUGUAAGAUCAAUGGUUUGCUCUGCUUGACAAGACUCCUCCCUUACUAAGGUAAUAAAUCAAUUCAAAUUUGGGGUUUUAUAUUGAUUUUCAGUGGUGGUCUCAUAUUUUGACAACUAUGAGGUUCCACCAAGGUUAUUUUGAUGACUCUAACUUAAAAAUAAAUAAAGGUGUCCUCAUCAGGUCCCUUUGUGUCCAGAUUUCAUUUAUCCUUUGGAUUUGUUCCAAGUAUAUUUGUCUCAAUAUUGAUCUGUACUCUGACUCUCAGUGAGCAUGUAUUGUUGAGUUUGUUAAAUGAGGAUUCCUAUCAAAAUAGUUCUUUGUAGAUGGCAUUGUCAAUAUUUUGGCCAUUAAUUUCAUUAUUCUUCAAGCGUGUGCUUGUUUUGCUUUAGUGCAUCUACUAGUACAGAGUCUUGGCUUAGGACUUUUUUUUUUUCCUGUUUCUUUGUCUUUCAUAGUCAUUUUAUUUCUUGGAUAUAUAAGGGGGUUCUACAUAGGGAAUGAACAAAGGAAUAAGUCCAUUCAGCCUCCAAUUCAAUCCAAGUUGAGUCCAAGGACUAUGAAUUAGAGGUCCAGUAGACAAUGACAAAUUCAUGAUCAAACUUUGCCUUUUGUCCCCUAAACACCUUCAUAGGGACACUUCCUCUUUUAUCAAUUAAUGAAAGGCCAUUUUGUUUAGUCCAUAUGCCAGGGUAAAAAAUUGUCAUGUCAUUCAUUGCAUAGUCCCUUCUUAGCCCCAGUUGGUAGGUAACCCGAGAUGCUAUUCUUUAGCAUAUAUUUUUGUUUGACUAUAAUGGCUUCUUUCUUGUUUGUCAUGAAUUUUUCUAAAUUAAAGUCAUAACUUCUUACUGGCAGAACUACUUUUUAUAUGAAUUCUCACUAAAAUACUAACUCACGUGCUCACCCUAGUACAGCAAAAAUAUUUUUAACUCAAAGUAGCAAUGAUUACCUUGGGGGACAUUCUGAUAGUCAAAAUUAAUACAUUUAAGCAGAGCUCUAGAAAAAUGAGGAAAACUAAUAAUAUUCACAAUUCAGUAGUCAACUUCUUUGGUGUGUCGAGACCUCAAAACAAACAGUUGAUGAGAAGAUAGUCUCUUUCAAAGACUCUCUAAUUUCCUAUCAUUCAAGCCUUCUGAAACUAUGCUCCGUAUAUAGAUGAUAUCGAAUUCUCAUCACUCAGUCAUAUUCUUUCAAUUCCUUCUACUCCUGGUCUCCUAAAUGUCUAAAUGUGAUACCCUUUCCUCAGGACUUUUCUCAGAAAAGGUCAUUGUAUAGUAUUCUCCUUAGACUUGCUAGAACAGAAAGCAGGAUCAAUAGAAGCUGAAUUUAAACCUUGGUCUAGAGCAUCAGUAAGACUAACACAAAUUCGCUGCAGAAUUUGGAAUUUUGUUAGAUAGACAUUAUUUUGGACUAUUUAAUUUAUAUAGCUUGCUUAAUUGCUAGUCUCUCAAAAGGGAAAAAUGGUUAAAAGCAGCAGGAUGGGAAACACCAGGAGGAGAUUUUCAUCACUUAGCUGUGUAUAAGUGAAGAAAAUGGCUUUGAGAGGGAAAAUAGAUGUAUAUAUAGUACACUAUAUAGGGACAUGCAGUUUUUCCUUUACGGAUAUGAACAGAUUCAACAUUGUAAGCAAAGUGAAGACAAAUUAAUACAAGACUUUAAAGAUGGAUUUUAGGAAAGUUUCAGUUUGAGUAGACAGUUGGAAUAGCCCCAAUAUAUGAAAUGAAGGGAACCUUAUCUGUCAUUGUAAUGGGCUGAGACUCAAAACAGGGGUCUUAAACAGCAAUUGCACAAUGGAAUGGAAAAUUGCCAGUUUAGGAGAGUUCCAACAUGUAGCUGAACAUUUUCAAUGAGCUUUAAAAAGGAAACUAGCUGAAAAUUAAACCAAACUUAUCACCCUUCAGAUAAAGUAACUGGCUCCAAGUUAAAAAUACCAAAAGUCCUCUGUUCUUUAAAAAUAAAGAGCCUAUGGCUAGGAACACCUGUAGAUGUUGUAAGCAGAAAAGCCAGUGAAGGAAACAAUGGGCGAUAUUUUGAACAAAAUAUGAAAGAAACAGAGUUAUCCAAGAUUUGUCCCUGCUGUAAGAGAAAACUCAGCACCCAGCAAUUUUCUGUCAUUCCUCUAAAGUCCCAAGGGGAAUUGUCUAUAAAUACAGAUGGACAACAAUGCAGCUUUUAUGUUACUAAACAUGCCGCCUAUCUAUCAUUAAUUCUACUUCCGUAGAAUAUCAGAUUGCUCAGAAAAACAUUUUAAAGUUGAAGAGCCAGAGGAAAGAUGAAUUGACUUGUACUACAAGUUCAGAAGAGGGGAAAGGGAGUUUUGUCUUAAAGUGAAAAUGUUUGGUUGUGCAAUAAUGUGAAAGAAAAUAGUAACAAGCAAACUUGAGGGUGUAUGUAAGUUGUAGAAGGCUUGAUGAAAAGUGGACUUUACUUGGCCUUGUUUUACUAAAGCAAUUCAGAAGUGGGACUUUCUAUCAAUCCCAAAUCUUUUCACCAGACUCAAUAUUUAAAUGUUACUUUGGGACUACUAUGAGAACAUUCCUUUCUUCUUUGUGACAUAAGUCCUAUCUUACAUGGAAUUUCCAGAUAAAAUAAAGCAGAAGGGUUAUUUUUAAGGCUCCCUAAAAUUUUCCCUCAUGUAUACACUUACUAACUGGUCUAUGCAUUGGAAAACUUUCACUAUAUAAAAUUCAAGAAAUAACUACAGAAUUAUCUAUGGUCCACAGAUGAGGUCAGAAUAUUUGCAAUAAAGGCCAUAAGAAUCCAUUGACUCGUUCAAGGUUAUCAUAAAAGUUCAGUUAUAUAGGUGUGUGAAAAGAUAAAGCUCUUCUCCCUAGGGGCCAUAACAGCAUGAAAAUUGUCAAAGAGCCAUUGCAUGUUCUCCUUGUUUCAAAGAUAUGGUAGUCUCAGCUAAUUUUGUUAAAACCUUUUCAGAUCAUCUUUCCCAAUCUGUGAACUGCCUUUUAAUUAUCUUACUGUUGUCUUUCAAAAAGUUUUAAUUUUAAUAAAUUCCAAGUUAUAAAUUUUUUUUGUUUCAUGGUUCAUGCAUUCUAUAUCCUAAGAAAAUCUUUGCUAAUCUCAAGACAGCAAAUGUCUAUUUUUUUUUUUCUAGAAUUUCUAGGUUUAGCUUUUGUUUAGGUCUAUCAUCCAUUUUAAAAUCUAAAUUUUUCACUAAAAUUAUGUAUGUGAUGUAAAAGUCGAGGUUCAUUUCUCAUAUGAAUAUAUACUUAUUCCAUUUGUUGAAAAGAUGCUUUUCCUCUUUGCUUUGGUGCCUUUUUGUUUUGUUUUCUUUUCUUUUUAGACAGGGUCUCACCCUUUUGCCCAGACUGGAGUGCAAUCACAGCUCAGUGCAGCCUCAACCUCUCCAGGCUCAGGUGAUCCUCCCAUCUCAGUCUCCCAAGCACGUGGGACUACAGGCACACACCACCACACACAGCUCAUUGUGCCUUUGUCAAAAAUCAAUUGUCCAUAUAUGCAUGGGUCCAUUUUUGAACUCUAUUCUGUCCAUUGGUCCUUAACAUUUCUUAUAAAACAUGUCCAUUGGCAAUCAAUUGUCUCAUCUUUUCUCUGAGUCUUCUCACUUUUUGAAGAUUUCUGCUGAAUAUCAAAUUCUAGGUAAACCGGUUAUUUUUUCAGCACUUUUAAGAUAGCAUGCCAAGGUCUCUAACUUGCUGUUUAAGAAAAAUAGGUAGCUAUUCUUAUCUUGGUUUCUCUGCAUGAAUGUACCUUUAUUUUUUUCCUCCAGCUGCUUUUGCAACUUUCUCUGGUUUUCAACAAUUUCAUUAUGAUGUACCUUGAUCAGACUUUUUUCUCUGUGUUACCUUGUUUGUUGAAUUUCUUGUAAUCUGUGGGCUUAUAGUUUUCAUCAACUAGGACACUUUUCAGCCAUUAUUUCUUAACAUACUAUUUUUGUUUCCACUACUCCAACUUCUAGGACACAAAAUACAAGUAUAUUAGAAUAGUUGAUAUUAUCCCAUAGGUGGCUAAGACACUGUCCUGUUUUUUUCUCUCUCUUUGUAUCUUAGCAUGCUUUUAAAUUCACUGAUUUUCAGUUCUGUAGAGACCUAUCUGCUAUAAUUUCAUCUAUUCCUUCUUACCUAGCUAGUGACCAAAGAGGCCAAAUAGCAGCAGUGAUUAAAAAAUAAAUGAAUAAAUCUUACACAUACUUAAAAUAAAGGUAUAAGGCCAGGCACAGUGGCUCACGCCUGUAAUCUCGGCACUUUGGGAGGCCGAGACGGGCGGAUUGCCUGAGGUCAGGAGUUCGAGACCAGCCUGGCUAACAUGGUGAAACCCUGUCUCUACUAAAAAUACAAAAAAAAAUUAGCUGGGCAUGGUGGUGCACACCUG
rnacentral:lncRNA from 1 species